AAAAAUCCCAUGGGAUAAUAAUAAUCCCAUGGGAUUUUUUUUGUCCCAUGGGACUACAAUUAUCCCAUGGGACCAAAAAUAAUCCCAUGGGAUUUAACCAAAAUCCCAUGGGAUAAUGGUAAAUCCCAUGGGAUUUUGCCCUGUCCCAUGGGAUAUUGAAAAUCCCAUGUUUUUAUAAAUCAAAUAGCAAAAUAAAUAUAAUAGUAACAGUAGAAAACUAAUGAAAUUAUUGAAUCCCAUGUAAUUCCGCACAUUUUGGUUAUAUACAUGACACUGUAGCUCUUAUUUGAGGCGGCGGCGGAUUUGCAAAUGAGUGUUUUGCAAAUUUAAAG
rnacentral:lncRNA from 1 species